CAUCCAGAGUCGAGUCAUCUUUGAAAGAAUAUAAAGACCUUGCGCACCACAGUUGAGGCCGUCUUCAUUCAAGAAAAACUCGACUGUACCUCAAACAGGCCGCGAGCCACGGGAAAGAUCCUCCUGACCACCUGCAUGGUGUUACCGGGGUCAGACAGGAAGGGCAGCCA